rnacentral:rRNA from 1 species
AUUGAACGCUGGCGGCAGGCCUAACACAUGCAAGUCGAGCGGCAGCGGAAAGUAGCUUGCUACUUUGCCGGCGAGCGGCGGACGGGUGAGUAAUGUCUGGGAAACUGCCUGAUGGAGGGGGAUAACUACUGGAAACGGUAGCUAAUACCGCAUAACGUCGCAAGACCAAAGAGGGGGACCUUCGGGCCUCUUGCCAUCAGAUGUGCCCAGAUGGGAUUAGCUAGUAGGUGGGGUAACGGCUCACCUAGGCGACGAUCCCUAGCUGGUCUGAGAGGAUGACCAGCCCCACUGGAACUGAGACACGGUCCAGACUCCUACGGGAGGCAGCAGUGGGGAAUAUUGCACAAUGGGCGCAAGCCUGAUGCAGCCAUGCCGCGUGUAUGAAGAAGGCCUUCGGGUUGUAAAGUACUCUCAGCGGGGAGGAAGGCGUUGUGGUUAAUAACCACAGCGAUUGACGUUACCCGCAGAAGAAGCACCGGCUAACUCCGUGCCAGCCGCCGCGGUAA